GAAUUGAGAAUUAUGGGGUCCUUAGCUAUACAUAGAAUUGAGAUGUAUGGGGUGCUAAGAUACAUUGAAUUGAGAAUUAUGGUGUGCUAUGAUACAUUGAAUUUAAAGUUACGGGGUGCUACUAUACAUAGAAUUGAGAUUUAUGGGAUGCUGAGAUACAUUGAAUUGAGAAUUAUAGGGUGCUACAAUACAUAUAAAAGCGUAUUAAAAUAUGUAUUA
rnacentral:lncRNA from 1 species